GAUGAACGCUGGCGGCGUGCUUAACACAUGCAAGUCGAACGAAGUGGAGAUCUUCGGAUUGAAACUUAGUGGCGGACGGGUGAGUAACGCGUGGGUAACCUGCCUCGUACAGGGGGAUAACAGUUAGGAAUGACUGCUAAUACCGCAUAACCCGCUAAGGUCGCAUGACCUGGACGGAAAAGAUUUAUCGGUACGAGAUGGACCCGCGUCCGAUUAGGUAGAUGGUGGGGUAACGGCCUACCAUGCCGACGAUCGGUAGCCGGGCUGAGAGGUUGAUCGGCCACAUUGGGACUGAGACACGGCCCAG
rnacentral:rRNA from 1 species